rnacentral:rRNA from 1 species
UACGUAGGGGGCGAGCGUUAAUCGGAAUUACUGGGCGUAAAGUGUGCGCAGGUGGCCGCGCAAGUCGAGUGUGAAAUCCCCGAGCUUAACUUGGGAAUUGCGCUCGAAACUACGUGGCUCGAGUGUGGCAGAGGAAGGUGGAAUUCCACGUGUAGCGGUGAAAUGCGUAGAGAUGUGGAGGAACACCGAUGGCGAAGGCAGCCUUCUGGGCCAACACUGACGCUCAUGCACGAAAGCGUGGGGAGCAAACAGG